CCUACGGGAGACAGCAGUGAGGAAUAUUGGUCAAUGGGCGCGAGCCUGAACCAGCCAAGUAGCGUGAAGGAUGACUGCCCUAUGGGUUGUAAACUUCUUUUAUAUGGGAGUAAAAUGUUCCACGUGUGGGAUUUUGUAUGUACCAUAUGAAUAAGGAUCGGGUAACUCCGUGCCAGCAGCCGCGGUAAUACGGAGGAUCCGAGCGUUACCCGGAUUUAUUGGGUUUAAAGGGAGCGUAGGUGGAUUGUUAAGUCAGUUGUGAAAGUUUGCGGCUCAACCGUAAAAUUGCAGUUGAAACUGGCAGUCUUGAGUACAGUAGAGGUGGGCGGAAUUCGUGGUGUAGCGGUGAAAUGCGUAGAUAUCACGAAGAACUCCGAUUGCGAAGGCAGUUCACUGGACUGCAACUGACACUGAGGCUCGAAAGUGUGGGUAGCAAACAGGAUUAGAUACCCGUGUAGUC
rnacentral:rRNA from 1 species